rnacentral:rRNA from 1 species
GACGAACGCUGGCGGCGUGCCUAAUACAUGCAAGUUGAGCGAUGAAGCUUGGUGCUUGCACCAAUUUGAAGAGCAGCGAACGGGUGAGUAACGCGUGGGGAAUCUGCCUUUGAGCGGGGGACAACAUUUGGAAACGAAUGCUAAUACCGCAUAACAACUUUAAACAUAAGUUUUAAGUUUGAAAGAUGCAAUUGCAUCACUCAAAGAUGAUCCCGCGUUGUAUUAGCUAGUUGGUGAGGUAAAGGCUCACCAAGGCGAUGAUACAUAGCCGACCUGAGAGGGUGGUCGGCCACAUUGGGACUGGGAAACGGCCCAAACUCCUACGGGAGGCAGCAGUAGGGAAUCUUCGGCAAUGGACGAAAGUCUGACCGAGCAACGCCGCGUGAGUGAAGAAGGUUUUCGGAUCGUAAAACUCUGUUGGUAGAGAAGAACGUUGGUGAGAGUGGAAAGCUCAUCAAGUGACGGUAACUACCCAGAAAGGGACGGCUAACUACGUG